rnacentral:rRNA from 1 species
CACGUAGGAGACGAGCGUUAUCCGGAUUUACUGGGCGUAAAGCGCGGGUAGGUGGGGUCUUAAGUCAUGCGUGAAAUCCCUCAGCUUAACUGGGGAACUGCGUCUGGGACUGGAUGGCUUGAGUGCAGGAGAGGAACGCGGAAUUCCAGGUGUAGCGGUGAAAUGCGUAGAUAUCUGGAGGAACACCGGUGGCGAAGGCGGCGUUCUGGACUGCAACUGACACUGAGGAACGAAAGCCAGGGGAGCAAACGGG